UACGGAGGGAGCGAGCGUUAAUCGGAAUUACUGGGCGUAAAGCGCACGUAGGUGGCUUUGUAAGUCGGAUGUGAAAGCCCUGGGCUUAACCUGGGAAUGGCAUUCGAUACUGCAUCGCUAGAGUAUGGUAGAGGGAAGUGGAAUUUCCGGUGUAGCGGUGAAAUGCGUAGAUAUCGGAAGGAACACCAGUGGCGAAGGCGACUUCCUGGGCCAAUACUGACACUGAGGUGCGAAAGCGUGGGGAGCAAACAGG
rnacentral:rRNA from 1 species